CCCGGACGGAGGCCGCCGAGGUCCAAGCCUCCCAGAGCUGUCCAAGGCCACGCCCCUUCCCAGGCUCGAAAGUCCGCCCGCGUCCAACGCCCAGGCUCAGCGGCCGCUCCGCCCGGGAGUCGAACCAGCGCCCCAGCGUGGACCCUGAGCGCCGUCGGAAAGGCGUUAGCGCCCAGGGGGUCACAACCCAGCUUGCUGGAAGGAAACUUGGGGACAUCUGUAAGGAGAGGAAUAGGAAAGACCCGAGGAGAAGCAGUAAAGGAGGUAGAAGCAACUCGCGCUGUUUUGGAGGAGAGUUUCUAGAAGGGUGUGUUAAAUUCAGCAGAGUAUUGAGAAAGAUCAAGACCAAAAAUUGUAGUUAGAUUUAGGAAGGAGGAGGUAACGGAACUUCAAAAGCAAAAUUUCGGGGAGCUAGAAAGGGAAAAUGGAGUCAGGAGGAGCCUUGUCGAAAAACUGGAAGAUGUGAAGGGCGUUGCGGAUCCUUUGGAGCCAAGGACUGGAACUGCCAUGCAAGACCUCUGCCAACUGAGGGUUUCAUGAGCGCACUCCCUUGCCAAGAUCUUGGUGAAUAGUCUUUCACUGUGCAAUUGUGUCUCAGACAUUGUUUUACUUGUUAUCAUGAUUGUGCUUGGCUGGAUGCUUUUUGUUGGACUUGCAUGUUACAUGGGCACAUUUCCAGAGUUCACGCCUCCAACUCUGAAGUGGAAAGAGAAGUGGCCUGUUCAGGAGAGCAAGACACGACUGAGGAGCCUGGCUUUGGAUGAAGAACCACAACUAUGAGAACCAUGUGGAAAGGAUAUAAGUAUCCCCCAGGAGGGACCCCGGUGGAAGUAAGCAAAGAUGAUCCUGGUGAAGUCAUGCAGCUCUGAAGCUCACCUGGCCUGCUGUAGAGUUCCUGUUGUUGGUUUCGCAUAAAGUAAUUGCACAUUAUUUUGUCACAUUUUAUGUAAAAAGUUACCGUACUUUUUAAGAUGAAGAGCUGAUAUUCUGUUAGCUCAAAACAGGGAGAUGGGGGAGGGUAGUUGGGUUAGACGAACGUGAUUGGGUGCCUCUGUUUCAGUCUCUAAGACUAAAGUCUUAGACUAAAAUACCUAGUUCAAUUUGCCCCCUAUUCUGAAUCCUUAGGGAUAGAAAUUCUCUAAAGCUCCUUUGACCUAGUUCCCGGGUGUAGUCUUCCUCCUGCAUCCAGGGUCCAGGGUCAAAAAAACGUUCAGAAAAUGCUAGAGAUUGCAGCAACUUUAAGCCUAUCUUUUGGGGAUACUCUUCUGUGGCCUUUUCACAGCUGUUACCAACAACCUUCUGUGGCCUUUUCUCAGCUGUUACCAACAACCUUCUGUGGCCUUUUCACAGCUGUUAUCAAGAACCGAAGGCUUACACUGUGUGGGGGAAGGGAUGUCAUUUUAAUAUGAGGUGCUAGAUACUAAAUUAAACAUUACUUUAAUUCUUAUAAGCUUCUGAGCUGGGCACUAGCCUCAUUGAACAAAAGGUUACAAAUGAAGUUGAGAGACUCAAGUAUCUUACCAGCUGCACAGCUCUGGGUUGGAGUCAAGAUCAAGAUCCAGGCCUUCUCCUUGGCAUACUUUUAUGUGCCAAGGAAAAGAGCCAAACAAGAGACUGGAAUAUCCAAGAUCUUGGCUAUCUCUUGGCUCAAGUGCCCCCUUCAUUUGAAUAGCCAAGAAGGUGCCUGAUGAUUCUUUUAGCAGUAACCACUGCUAAUACAGGGCAGCAUGCAUACAUAGAAACAAAAGCUAAGUGCUCAGUCCUCAAUAUGAUGCAGUUUGAGUUUGAGACCAAGUAUGGAAACUUAAGACCCAUGCAAUUAAUCUAGGUGUUUCAGCCCUAGGAUAUUCCUCAUAAGCCCUCUCUAGGGGUGGUUUGGAAUUUUCUGACCUUAACGGGGUUGGGGGGGGGGGGAGGGGGAAGAAUCCAACAAGAACAAGUACUUCUAAAAUAAACUGUAUGGAAACUU